UACGUAGGGGGCUAGCGUUGUUCGGAUUUAUUGGGCGUAAAGCGCACGUAGGCGGAUUGAUCAGUCAGGGGUAAAAGCCCAGAGCUCAACUCUGGAACUGCCUUUGAUACUGUCGAUCUGGAGUAUGGAAGAGGUGAGUGGAAUUCCGAGUGUAGAGGUGAAAUUCGUAGAUAUUCGGAGGAACACCAGUGGCGAAGGCGGCUCACUGGUCCAUUACUGACGCUGAGGUGCGAAAGCGUGGGGAGCAAACAGG
rnacentral:rRNA from 1 species